CACGAACGCAGGCGGCAGGCUUAACACAUGCAAGUCGAACGCCCCGCAAGGGGAGUGGUAGACGGGUGAGUAACGCGGGGGAAUCUACCUAGUUCUACGGAACAACUGAGGGGAACUUCAGCUCAUACCGUAUACGCCCUACGGGGGAAAGAUUUAUCGGAAGUAGGUGAGCCCGCGUAGGAUUAGCUAGUUGGUGGAGUAAUGGCCUACCAAGGCGACGAUCCAAAGCUGGUCUGAGAGGAUGAUCAGCCACACGGGGACUGAGACACGGCCGAGACUCCUACGGGGGGCAGCGGUGGAGAAUAUUGGACAAUGGGAGAACGCCUGAUCCAGCCAUGCCGCGUAGGUGAUAAAGGCCUUAGGGUUGUAAAGCUCUUUCGGUGGGGAAGAGAAUGACGGUACCCACAGAAGAACCCCCGGCUAACUUCGUGCCAGCCGCCGCAGUAAAAC
rnacentral:rRNA from 1 species